UACGUAGGUGGCAAGCGUUGUCCGGAUUUACUGGGCGUAAAGAGCGUGUAGGCGGCCAAACAGGUCCGUUGUGAAAACUGGAGGCUCAACCUCCAGACGUCGACGGAAACCGUAUGGCUAGAGUCCGGUAGAGGAGAGUGGAAUUCCUGGUGUAGCGGUGAAAUGCACAGAUAUCAGGAAGAACACCUAUGGCGAAGGCAGCUCUCUGGGACGGUACUGACGCUGAGACGCGAAAGCGUGGGGAGCGAACAGG
rnacentral:rRNA from 1 species